GAUGAACGCUGGCGGCGUGCCUAAUACAUGCAAGUCGAGCGAACAGACGAGGAGCUUGCUCCUCUGACGUUAGCGGCGGACGGGUGAGUAACACGUGGAUAACCUACCUAUAAGACUUGGAUAACUUCGGGAAACCGGAGCUAAUACCGGAUAAUAUAUUGAACCGCAUGGUUCAAUAGUGAAAGACGGUUUUGCUGUCACUUAUAGAUGUAUCCGCGCCGCAUUAGCUAGUUGGUAAGGUAACGGCUUACCAAGGCGACGAUGCGUAGCCGACCUGAGAGGGUGAACGGCCACACUGGAACUGAGACACGGUCCAGACUCCUACGGGAGGCAGCAGUAGGGAAUCUUCCGCAAUGGGCGAAAGCCUGACGGAGCAACGCCGCGUGAGUGAUGAAGGUCUUCGGAUCGUAAAACUCUGUUAUUAGGGAAGAACAAAUGUGUAAGUAACUAUGCACGUCUUGACGGUACCUAAUCAGAAAGCCACGGCUAACUACGUG
rnacentral:rRNA from 1 species